rnacentral:rRNA from 1 species
AUGGCGCACGAGCUUCGGGUAGGCAGCCGAACAGCUGUGAAAGAACCUACAGCCUGGCGCUCAGAGUGCUGGAACCGUUGGUGCACAAAGUUGCAAUUGCCUGCACCAAAAGCUAUGAUUUUCAUGUUCGAUGUGUUGGAACCGGUGUCUGACAUGCUGGAACUCGCGCCCGAUGAAGUGCUAGAAACAAUACCCAACAUGCUGGAAUCAGCGUCCAUGGAUGCUGGAACCCGACGCCCACCAACCUUGCUACAGACGAGGAUGCUUGGACCACCUGCACCAGAAGUUGCAGCCGCAUACGGGGAUGCUGGGAUGCCUGAUAAUGAUGGCCUCGAUUGCAGCUUGCGACUAACGUGCUGGCGAGGGCAGACGGUGAUGGGCUAG